UGACAAUCAUCGCCAUCGCCGUUCGACAUUGCCUAGCCGAAGUCGAACCAGCUCUCUUUGCCCCUGUUUCUCAGCGAAGGAGUCCGAAGUGUUCAGUUAUUGCUUGAGACUCCUCCUCCAACGCCGAUAUUCAUCUCCAGCGUGUCUGGGACGUCCGGUUUCUGAUUUGCCCAUUCGCCGAGGCUAGAGUUCCGAUCUCGCCAAGAUUCAACUGCGAUUGAAGUUCUACGGAUGAUCAGAACCUGUGGUGUUGCUGUUGUAAUAGUCUAGCCCAGACGAAAUUACGAUGUCUUCCUUAAUUUCAGAGGCAAAGACAUUGGCAACAACUUCGUGGGUCAUCUAUGCAAGGCCUUGUAUCGGGCCAGCUUAAGGACGUUCGUGGGAUAGGAAGGAACUAAGGAAGCGAGAGGCAAUAUCGGCCUCGAUCAUGAGGGCGAUCAAAGAAUUGCUCAUUGCAAUCAUCAUCUUCUCGGAGAGCUACGCUUCGUCGUCGUGGUGUUUGGAAGAGCUGGUCAAGAUAUUGGAGUGCGAGAAGAUGAAUGAACAGGAUGCGAUGCCUGUAUUUUACAAAGUGGAAUCAAGGAAAGUAAAAGGAAGGCACGGGAAAUCAUGGGCAGCAAAGCAUGGAGUCAAGUCAAGAAAUGGAAGGAAGCUCUCGUUGAAGCUUCUAAUUUGUCGAGGGCGGCAUCAGGAAAACAGGUAAUUCUAAUAUAUAAUCACCUAUGAAAAAUGAUAGACAGAUCAAGACACACCUGGUCCAAUGACGCGCAGGUCCAUUCGUGCCUUCUCUUCUUUAGUUCGAAAUUUCUUGCGCGUUUUCUUUUAUUUUUGGAUAUUGACACAAGAUAUCAAUAUUGCAUAAAGGGGCGUCAAUGAAUUAGCUCGAGCCGGGCACGCAUUAACCAGUCCCGGAAAUCCCUGGUUGGGUCAGGUUAGCAGGAGCCUGGAAAAUAGAAGAAGAUAAAAUUAAUGGAAAAAUAGCGAUGGAAGGGUCGGUCCUCCGGUGCUCAGAUUUGCCCACAUUGCUAGGACUAGGAGUUGCUUUUACUGCUGAACCUCUGCUGUUUGGAUUUCUUGAUAAAACUUUUAAUUUUGAUU